GCUCUCUCUUUGUUAGUACACACACUAAAAUUGGAACACUAUAGAAAAGAUUAGCAUGAUCACUGCCCAAGGACAACAGUCAAAUUUAUGAAGUAUUUCAUAGUUUU